rnacentral:rRNA from 1 species
UACGUAGGGGGCAAGCGUUGUCCGGAAUCAUUGGGCGUAAAGAGCUCGUAGGCGGUCUGUCGCGUCGGCUGUGAAAACUCGGGGCUCAACUCCGAGCUUGCAGUCGAUACGGGCAGGCUAGAGUUCGGCAGGGGAGACUGGAAUUCCUGGUGUAGCGGUGAAAUGCGCAGAUAUCAGGAGGAACACCGGUGGCGAAGGCGGGUCUCUGGGCCGAUACUGACGCUGAGGAGCGAAAGCGUGGGGAGCGAACAGG